CGACUCUCGGCAAUGGAUAUCUCGGCUCUUGCAUCGAUGAAGAACGUAGCGAAAUGCGAUACUUGGUGUGAAUUGCAGAAUCCCGUGAACCAUCGAGUCUUUGAACGCAAGUUGCGCCCGAAGCCUUUUUGGCUGAGGGCACGCCUGCCUGGGCGUCAC
rnacentral:rRNA from 1 species